UGGGGAAUUUUGGACAAUGGGGGAAACCCUGAUCCAGCCAUCCCGCGUGUGCGAUGAAGGCCUUCGGGUUGUAAAGCACUUUUGGCAGGAAAGAAACGUCGCGGGUUAAUACCCCGCGAAACUGACGGUACCUGCAGAAUAAGCACCGGCUAACUACGUGCCAGCAGCCGCGGUAAUACGUAGGGUGCAAGCGUUAAUCGGAAUUACUGGGCGUAAAGCGUGCGCAGGCGGUUCGGAAAGAAAGAUGUGAAAUCCCAGAGCUUAACUUUGGGAACUGCAUUUUUAACUACCGGGCUAGAGUGUGUCAGAGGGAGGUGGAAUUCCGCGUGUAGCAGUGAAAUGCGUAGAUAUGCGGAGGAACACCGAUGGCGAAGGCAGCCUCCUGGGAUAACACUGACGCUCAUGCACGAAAGCGUGGGGAGCAAACAGGAUUAGAUACCCUGGUAGUCCACGCCCUAAACGAUGUCAACUAGCUGUUGGGGGCCUUCGGGCCUUGGUAGCGCAGCUAACGCGUGAAGUUGACCGCCUGGGGAGUACGGUCGCAAG
rnacentral:rRNA from 1 species